rnacentral:rRNA from 1 species
AAAAAGAGGAGUGGCGAACGGGUGAGUAACACGUGGGUAACCUGCCCAUCAGAAGGGGAUAACACUUGGAAACAGGUGCUAAUACCGUAUAACAAUCAAAACCGCAUGGUUUUGAUUUGAAAGGCGCUUUCGGGUGUCGCUGAUGGAUGGACCCGCGGUGCAUUAGCUAGUUGGUGAGGUAACGGCUCACCAAGGCCACGAUGCAUAGCCGACCUGAGAGGGUGAUCGGCCACAUUGGGACUGAGACACGGCCCAAACUCCUACGGGAGGCAGCAGUAGGGAAUCUUCGGCAAUGGACGAAAGUCUGACCGAGCAACGCCGCGUGAGUGAAGAAGGUUUUCGGAUCGUAAAACUCUGUUGUUAGAGAAGAACAAGGAUGAGAGUAACUGUUCAUCCCUUGACGGUAUCUAACCAGAAAGCCACGGCUAACUACGUGCCAGCAGCCGCGGUAAUACGUAGGUGGCAAGCGUUGUCCGGAUUUAUUGGGCGUAAAGCGAGCGCAGGCGGUUUCUUAAGUCUGAUGUGAAAGCCCCCGGCUCAACCGGGGAGGGUCAUUGGAAACUGGGAGACUUGAGUGCAGAAGAGGAGAGUGGAAUUCCAUGUGUAGCGGUGAAAUGCGUAGAUAUAUGGAGGAACACCAGUGGCGAAGGCGGCUCUCUGGUCUGUAACUGACGCUGAGGCUCGAAAGCGUGGGGAGCAAACAGG